UAGGGAAUCUUGCGCAAUGGGGGAAACCCUGACGCAGCGACGCCGCGUGAGCGAGGAAGGCCUUCGGGUUGUAAAGCUCUGUCAGUCGGGAAGAGGAAGUGACGGUACCGACAGAGGAAGCCCCGGCUAACUACGUGCCAGCAGCCGCGGUAAUACGUAGGGGGCAAGCGUUGUCCGGAAUGACUGGGCGUAAAGGGCGUCUAGGCGGCCCGAUAGGUGUGAGGUUUAAGACGGCGGCUCAACCGCCGAAGUGCCUUGCAUACUGUUGGGCUUGAGGGCAGUAGAGGCGAGUGGAAUUCCCGGUGUAGCGGUGAAAUGCGUAGAGAUCGGGAAGAACACCAGUGGCGAAGGCGGCUCGCUGGGCUGGCCCUGACGCUGAAGCGCGAAAGCGUGGGGAGCGAACGGGAUUAGAUACCCCGGUAGUCCACGCCGUAAACGAUGGGUACUAGGUGUGGGAAGUAUCGACCCCUUCCGUGCCGGAGCAAACGCACUAAGUACCCCGCCUGGGGGGUACGGCCGCAAGGCUG
rnacentral:rRNA from 1 species